rnacentral:lncRNA from 1 species
CCCCGGUAGAUUUUUUUUAAAAACAGAUAUGUCAAAGCUAUGAACUUUUCGAACAUUUUAAGGUAAAAUAAAAUGGGGGUCACCAGGCUUUAAAAAAGUUACGAGCUUUUGUUUAACCCCUCUACCCCAUAAGGUCUGAUUUCAAUGGACUCCAUUAAUUACUUAAUUGUGAAUUCUUUAUUGAUGGCUUUAAUAAAAUAAUGUUUGUAAUUAUAUCAAUGAACGAUCACUGAAUAUAAAUGUGGUUAUCGUAUUACUGUUUGUUAUCAAAAAGCGAAAUUUUGAUUAUUUUGGUGAAAUACGGUAAUUUUGUCUGGCGCGAGUUGCUUCCCUCUAAUUUGGCGCCAUUAUCGGACCAGAGGAAUUUCAAGGUCGCCAUUGCCUGAGCAGCAUACUAUAUUGAUGAAUACGACCAUGUACAUGCAUAACAGACAUUGUGGCGAAUAUACAACGAUGAAGGUAGAGUUAUUACAUAAGAAAACAUAGAUUUCGAUAUAUUAGGCAGCCAAAUGUUAUCAGUAUAACGAAAAAUACAAACUUGGGGGUUGUCUCAAAAUACUCGCUACUGUUGAAAAUCACUGCGGCUGAAACCUUGCACCGGCUCAAUUUCUGUUCCAUGUUUAAUGUUAUAGAUCGUUAUAGCUGGUAUCUUAUUUAUGUGUUUAUUUUACCCUUUACAGACAAGUUGUAAACAUGUCUGGCCAGUUUUGAAAAAUAUCCGUGUGCAAACGGCCGAAGAGGAAGGGAUGACAUCUACUAUGAAGCACUACAACUGUCAUUAUUACGCUACCGUUAGUGUCAAUGAAUUAGUCUUUUUUAAUCAUCAUUUGUAAUAUCUAAUUUCGUAGCCAAGUCAGGGUCAUAUGUAUGUGGGGUACCCCAUAACUUCCCUCGGAACAGUUUCUACUCCUUAUAGGCUUAGCCCUAACUAUAUUUCCCUUCCCUUUCUACCCUAAAAUCCCCCCCCCCCUUUUUUUUACUUCAAUACUUCCAUCUCCUUGCUCCAAGACAAAAUAAAAAUGACAAAAUAUAUUUCCAAGAUACCCCCUUUUCUCUGAUCCCUCAUUCCCCUGUCUCCUUACCCUUGUCCACCCCUCAAUUAAGGUCCUCAAGGGUUUGAUUGAUUUGUUUAUUUUCUUGAGAAUAUGAAAUAAUUGGCCUAAUUUGUAAAUGAUAAACCCUACACCUUAUUGAAGGAUUCGUCUUGAUCAAUCACAAUUUGUUUACCAUUAACCCCCCCCCCCUAAUUCUGUUAGGUAUACAAAAAUGUCUAACAGUCUUAAGGUCUAGUAAUAGAAGUAUCAAGGUUAAACAUGUACAGAGUGUGGCCAUAAGUAUUUGUCACUUGAGAUUUUUAGCUGUUCAUGUAUAUUGUAUAUAAAACUAGAUUUUUAGCAUCCUGGUACCAAUAGAAGCAGUAUUAUCACAGGUUUAUUUUUUGGCUAUAUUUUUUUUAUGUCUCAUUUUCAUUAUUUUCUGUUCAGAAAUUCGAUAUAUAUAUUCAACCAAAUUAAAUUAUAAAAAAAUAUUUUAUGUGUUCUCAAGGGAAAACAAAAACACAUGAAAACGAACCUAUUAUCAAAUAAACACAUAAUUAUUUAUACCAUUCUACUUCUUUUAAGGUUACCCUUGCAUUGUCAGUCUUAUCAAACUUGCAUGUACCUCCCAAAUUUGGAUUCUGUUCUCCAACUUCAGUUUGCCUCUACCAAUGUUAUGAAACUAAUACACAAUUAAUGCAUAUAUAUAUAUAUAUGAUACUACAAACAAACAAACAUGAAGUUUGAAUUUUUGGUGGGGUCGCUUUUACUGUUCUAGAGAUAUGCCCCUUUACAAAAUUUAAAAAAAUGCUGAAUUUUUGUUCCUUUCUUUAACACAAGUUUGCUUCAUCCAAAUGUUCUGAAACUUAUAUGCAAUGCUUACUACAACAACACUCAGAUCAAGUACAAAUUUGGGUGGUGUCACUCUUUUCAUUCUUUAUAUGCAAGCGGUUGCUCAUCUGUGUCCCAUGGACACAUUACCUAUUAUGAACUAGUCUACAUCUAUAUGCUUUUGAAUGUCAAUAAUUGUUGAUUUUCUGACAGAAUUACUCUGAUAUUUAAUUUCAGGCUGCAAGUACAUUUGUACAUGUACAUUGCAAAUGGAAGGAGUGAUCUUGGAAUGUUCAACUUUACUUGGAAACUAUUGGCAAAGUUCUGACAGAAUUUCAUGAGAAGCCAGUAUCAUAUUCUAGUCUUGCAACCGGAAACUAUGCAUAAAGUGCUGAAACUUAAGAACAACAUUCUACAUGUAUAUAUGCAAUAUGUGUUGCCACAAUCCACUUAAGGAGCUAAGAUCAACUAAAAAUUGGAACUACAUGUAUAUGCUUUAGUGCUGUCAAAAUCCUUUAAAAAAAUCCAAUCAAAAGGACCUACUUCACCUAUAUAUAUUGCUACCUGUCCCAAUGAUGAAUACAGAUCAUUAUAUAUGAGUCUUAUAAAAAAAAAACAGUGAAGGAGAAUAAAAAUAAUGAAAAUAUAGAGCUGAUCAGCAAAGGAUUGUACAUGUACAUGAUGUAUAAAUGGCAAC